rnacentral:rRNA from 1 species
UAUAAGAGGUCCCGCCUGCCCAGUGACAGGAUUUAACGGCCGCGGUACUCUGACCGUGCGAAGGUAGCACAAUCACUUGUUCUUUAAAUGAGGACUAGAAUCAAUGGCGUCACGAGGGUUCCACUGUCUCCUUUUUCUAAUCAGUGAAAUUGAUUUCCCCGUGAAGAAGCGGGGAUAAUAAUAUAAGACGAGAAGACCCCAUGGAGCUUCAAACUCAACGAAUAACUCUACAACUUACUAGAUAUCUUAAGAGACCUAUCCGUUAGUUUUGGGUUGGGGUGACCACGGAGAACAACCUAACCUCCGUAAUGAAAAGAAUAAAAUCAUAAUCUAAGAGCUACACCUCUAAGAAUUAACAAAUUAACAUACAAUGAUCCAAUUUUAUUGAUCAAUGAACCAAGUUACCCUGGGGAUAACAGCGCUAUCCACUUCUAGAGUUCAUAUCGCCAAGUGGGUUUA